rnacentral:ncRNA from 1 species
UGGUCCCAACCUUGGGAUCAGUUGCUACUUAAUAUACACAUGCAAGUCUCCGCCCCCCUGUGAAAACGCCCUUAACCCCUUUAAGGGGCAAGGAGCUGGUAUCAGGCACAAAAUUUAGCCCAAAACACCUAGCCAUGCCACACCCCCACGGGAACUCAGCAGUGAUUAACAUUGAAUAUAAGCGCCAGCUUGAAUCAGUUAAAGUAGAAAGAGCCGGCUAAUCUGGUGCCAGCCGCCGCGGUUAGACCAUGUGGCUCAAACUGACCCCCUCUUCGGCGUAAAGCGUGAUUAAAGCCAACUUACACUGCAAUUUAACUAGAAUUAAGCCGUGACACGCUUGUCCCUGGGAAACCCCAUAAACGAAAGUCAUUGCACCCUUAAUAGCUUGAACUCACGUCAGCUAGGAAACAAACUGGGAUUAGAUACCCCACUAUGCCUAGCCGUAAACUUUAACUUACACCUCCUUCGCCUGGGAACUACGAGCAAAGCUUAAAACCCAAGGGACUUGACGGUACCCCAAAUCCACCUAGAGGAGCCUGUCCUAUAAUCGAUAACCCCCGUUUUACCUCACCCCUUCUUGUUUAUCAGCCUGUAUACCUCCGUCGUCAGCUUACCCCAUGAGCGUUAAUUAGUGAGCUUAAUUAGUGAGCCUAUGCCCCGCCCCAAUACGUCAGGUCAAGGUGCAGCAUAUGAAGCGGAAAGAGAUGGGCUACACUGUCUACCUUAGACCACACGAAAGACUACAUAUGAAACCUAGUCGGAAGGCGGAUUUAGAAGUAAAAGAAAAGCAGCGCGCUUCAUUUAACUUAGGCACUGGGGUGUGUACACACCGCCCGUCACCCUCUUCGAAAAAUUCAACAUAAGUUUUUGACACAUUUGAACUUCCCCCAGAAGAGGCAAGUCGUAACAUGGUAAGUAUACCGGAAGGUGUGCUUGGAAA